rnacentral:rRNA from 1 species
GAUCCUGGCUCAGAUUGAACGCUGGCGGCAUGCUUUACACAUGCAAGUCGAACGGUAACAGGUUAAGCUGACGAGUGGCGAACGGGUGAGUAAUGCAUCGGAACGUGCCCAGUCGUGGGGGAUAACGCAGCGAAAGCUGUGCUAAUACCGCAUACGAUCUAUAGAUGAAAGCGGGGGACCGUAAGGCCUCGCGCGAUUGGAGCGGCCGAUGUCAGAUUAGCUAGUUGGUGGGGUAAAGGCCCACCAAGGCGACGAUCUGUAGCUGGUCUGAGAGGACGACCAGCCACACUGGAACUGAGACACGGUCCAGACUCCUACGGGAGGCAGCAGUGGGGAAUUUUCCGCAAUGGGCGAAAGCCUGACGGAGCAAUACCGCGUGAGGGAAGAAUGCCUAUGGGUUGUAAACCUCUUUCAGACGGAAAGAAAUCGGUGUGUCUAAUACACGCACUGGAUGACGGUACCGUAAGAAGAAGCACCGGCUAACUACGUG